rnacentral:rRNA from 1 species
GACGAACGCUGGCGGCGUGCUUAACACAUGCAAGUCGAACGGAGUGCCCAUGACGGAGGUUUCGGCCAAUAGAUUGGGUUACUUAGUGGCGGACUGGUGAGUAACGCGUGAGGAACCUGCCUUUCAGAGGGGGACAACAGCUGGAAACGGCUGCUAAUACCGCAUGACAUAUAUUAAGGGCAUCCUUGAUAUAUCAAAGAUUUUAUCGCUGAAAGAUGGCCUCGCGUCCGAUUAGAUAGUUGGCGGGGUAACGGCCCACCAAGUCGACGAUCGGUAGCCGACCUGAGAGGGUGAUCGGCCACAUUGGGACUGAGACACGGCCCAGACUCCUACGGGAGGCAGCAGUGGGGAAUAUUGCACAAUGGGGGAAACCCUGAUGCAGCAACGCCGCGUGAGUGAUGACGGUCUUCGGAUUGUAAAGCUCUGUCUUCAGGGACGAUAAUGACGGUACCUGAGGAGAAGGCCACGGCUAACUACGUGCCAGCAGCCGACGG